rnacentral:lncRNA from 1 species
AGUUAAUGUCAGAUGCGUCAAGCUAGUCUUAAGUAUUUGGCUGUUACUUUUAACAUGUAAUACCAGUUAGCCCAAAAUGAUUUGUUCUGGGAUAGCAUGGAAUAGUUCUGCUCCUCUCUGCUAUGCUUCUAUGUUAAUCUGAUGCCGUGUGUAAUCCUACAUCAGCACAGUGAUUCUGGCUUUGUGUGACACAAUGCGUUGCUCACAUGACAACAUACUGUCAUGAAGGAAUGUUUGUUGUGUUCAUGGGAAGGACAUCUGCUUACUCUGCACAUUCGGUUGAACAAAAGUAGUUAUUCUUCUGCUUACAGUAUCACAUUUUUGAAGGGUUUUUAGUAAUUGGUGGCAUAGCAAAUGUUAGUAUGUGCAUGGGUUUAUGGCGUUACUGUUACUGACACAGGUCCGUAUGUGAGAAGGUUACAUCUCACGCUCACCCCUUUGUUACAAUCCACCAUGUAAAACUGAACCACCAUUCUUUUUGGGAAGCUGAGACCUAAUUUGUCCCUGCCUGAUUUCAUUCCGAUUUAAGAAAAGAUGUUCUUUCUUGGGUUCAGCUUUCAAGUAUUUAUCCCCCCCACAAACACAUUCUUGCUUAUGCCUGCAUAAUGCUGUUAAGACACUUUCUUCUGCAGAAGCCUUUUGUUAGCACAGUAUUACUACAUUUGUCUGUUCUUUCCUGUCAAACCUGACAAUUUAUCACCCGCAGUCACUGCAGAAAUGUUGUUACAUUUCUCAUUUUCUCCCUCGUGUUUUUGAACACUCCUCAGGUAUUUGGAGGACUACACAUCUGCUAUGUGUGGGACUGCUAGCUGAUUUAAAGUGCUUCCUCUUCUGAGCAGUUACUGGGAACUGAGCGAGUCUGAGACGCGCUCACUGCGCGUACCCUCUGCCAAUUUGUUGUUACGUGAAUCCAUAAAAUGGGUGUUUUAAAAUCUUUCCCUGCACUGCGCUGCCAAUAUUUCUGUUUUCUUAUACUAAAUCUUUCGUCUGGGUCAUCUGAAGCGUGACCCAACUAAACUCCUAUUCCCACAGUAAUUUCAAGCUGUCCUCUUGGCUUUCAUCAUCUUGAACAGCUACAUAAAGCUGUCUUUAACUGUGUGUUUCUCUUUACUUGAAGAAUUGGAAUUGGAAAUCCAUCUGCUGGAGUCUUUUCCUGCUUUUGCCUAAAAGAACAAUCAAUUUGAAAGGCAGUUUGGGGCUUUCUGUUGUCUUUUUUUUCACUUGUGCUAACUUUGUAACUGAAAAUUUGGGUUACGUAGAAUUGGUAGAAUGGGAAAUCUGCUGUAGUGUUUUUGUAUCCAAGUUAUGGCACUCAGCCAUCUGCCUUGUGCUUAAUAGGUAUUGUUUCAGACUUCAGGAGGCUCAUUGCUGCGGACAGUGUGCAAUUGAGUACAUCUUGCUGAUUUUUAACUUAUUUUAAUGUUGUACUGAAAGUCUCUCUGAGCUUUCCUUGUUAGUACGCUAUUCCACUAGAAGCUCUGCUUCAGUCACAUAUCAAAAGGUUUGUCCUCAAUUCAAGCCAUUAAAACCUCACUGAAAUUUUUCCCUUACUCUACCUAGACCUGAAUUCAAAAAGGAAGCCUUCUUUUGGAAUGGGUUUUUUGCCUUUUCUGUGUGCAAAUUCUGUCAUUCUGCAGGUUCGUGGUACCACCACCGGGAGGCAGUCUUGCACAGUGGCUCUACUGGGUUUGUCCGAAGCCGUAGAUCAUAUAGCUGAAUCGUGGGACUUAACACUAUGAGCGACAUGCACCAGCUGUUGUUUAAUUAAAUUUGCAAGUACUGAAGAAUAAGAUAUUUCCUGGAAGGUCUGAAAGUGCUUGGAUUCAAAGGGUCAAAGGUAGCUACAGAAGACGAACACGACAAAUAACAAAAUGGCUGUGCUGCGGACUUUCUCUCUGCUUCUGCUUUCGUUAAGGUGCUCUGAGGCUUCCAGUCAAUAAAGUAAUUCCAGGGAAAAAGGUCUAACUGUUUGUUUACAUUAGUUUAUGGUAAUCUAAAAGUUCACAUUCCCUCUUAAUUUUUUGGUUAUUCUGUAUUUUUUAAUCCUGACUUAGAGUCAUAGAAUCACCAAGGUCGGAAAAGACCUCCCAGACCAUCCAGUCCAACCAUCCCGCUACCACCAAUAUUGCAUCACUAAACCACGUCCCCACUUUUAGGUCAGGAUUCGCUUGUUGUUUUCCAUGAGUACCUUACAUCUUUGUCAAACUGCCUCGCUCCCAUCCCAUUUUUUAUGCAGUUAAAAUCUUGUAUUUAGUGAUGGAGAAACCAAGGAUGGCAACGAGUUCUAUGGAUUUUAGGAACUGAUUAAGAGAAAGGAUUUCUGAUUGAGAAGGAGGGCACACACAGUGCCAAGUGUUCGCCAUAACAGGGAGAAUAAGAAAAAUGGCCUAACACUUCUCUUUCUAGAGUGUGUAUUUGUAUGUUCAAACCUACUGCAACAAACACUCCAUGUGUCACAUUGACCAUGUGGGUUACAAUUCAUUGACUUUAUACAGCUGUAUUGUUUAUAUUGUAUAUUAUUAUAUUAUAUUGUAUAUUGUUUAAGAAGAAAAAGACUUGAAAUGAGCCCAAUGAAGCCACUGGUGUGGCUGAAAGGUGACACGGUGACCGUGGCUGGGGCACAGCCUGUGAAGGAGGGAGGGUGUGGGCAACCCUGAGGCAGGCAACAGUGGUGAGUACCCCCACGCUGCUUGGCUGGUCCUGGCCCUCAAACUUCUGACUGUUUUGCUUCAACACUGCUCAGGCUUUAACUUGUGACAUGAGGAAAUGACCCCUGAGAAUCCCUGUGCUUUCCUAAGAGUGAAGCACACCACCUGCAGAGUGCUGGUUGUGCCCGGCCAGCUGGGCCCAUCAGCAGGCCGACGGGCUGACCCCUCUGAGCCUGGUCACCAAGCUCAAGCUUGGGGCUGCUGAGCGCCCACACUGCCUCACCAUGUUCCCCUCAGCCCUCUCCCAGCUGGCCCCCCUAGCAGUGCAGGGCCUGCGCCAGAGGCCGGGCCUUGUUGUGCCUCUGCCCAGAGCAACCCAAGAUGGCCGCACACCCUCAGACAUUAGCAUGCUCCAAAACACACAUGUACCUCCCAUUCACACUAGGGAAG